AAAAACUCAAAAAAAA
rnacentral:sRNA from 1 species